rnacentral:rRNA from 1 species
UGGGGAAUAUUGGACAAUGGGCGCAAGCCUGAUCCAGCAAUGCCGCGUGUGUGAAGAAGGCCUUCGGGUUGUAAAGCACUUUUAUCAGGAGCGAAACGCUGUCGGCUAAUACCCGGCGGAACUGACGGUACCUGAGGAAUAAGCACCGGCUAACUUCGUGCCAGCAGCCGCGGUAAUACGAAGGGUGCAAGCGUUAAUCGGAAUUACUGGGCGUAAAGCGUGCGUAGGCGGUUUCUUAAGUCUGCUGUGAAAUCCCCGGGCUCAACCUGGGAAUGGCAGUGGAUACUGGGAGGCUAGAGUGUGUCAGAGGGUGGUGGAAUUCCCGGUGUAGCGGUGAAAUGCGUAGAGAUCGGGAGGAACAUCAGUGGCGAAGGCGGCCACCUGGGACAACACUGACGCUGAGGCACGAAAGCGUGGGGAGCAAACAGGAUUAGAUACCCUGGUAGUCCACGCCCUAAAACGAUGCGAACUGGAUGUUGGUCUCAACUCGGAGAUCAGUGUCGAAGCUAACGCGUUAAGUUCGCCGCCUGGGGAGUACGGUCGCAAGACUGAAACUCAAAGGAAUUGACGGGGUCAUGAGCUGUUUCCAUG